UCACUAGGUAUUUAAAUCAGUUAAAAUUUAUUUCGAUAAUUUGUGUGUUAUUGUUAGUUACUAUGGUAUACACGCUUAGGCAAAGAAUUGAAAUGAUUUUUAUUUAUGGCGAGCAAGGAAGAUGCGCAAGAAGAACGGCAGAAGUUUUUAAUAAUAGAAAUCCUAAUUGUAAUGUAAGUCACAGAUACAUUUUGGACGUAGUAGCUAAAUUUAAUGAAACGGGUUCAGUUGGAAAUAAAAAAAGGGCAAGUCGGCGUGUUUUAAACGAAGAUGCUCAAGUAGAGAUUUUGGGAACAUUCGUUGCAGAACCCACCAAUUCUCUCCGUACAGUAGCACGUCUAACUGGAAUGUCACAUGAAACUGUACGACGAGCAUUACAGUUACAUAAAUAUCAUCCGUACAAGAUGCAAAUUUUACAGGAACUUCAUGAGGACGAUUUUGAUAGGAGAAUAGAGUUUUGCGAAAUUAUGUCCAACUUAAUAAACACUCGUGCAAUUGUGAGAGGGUGCUACACAGCGGCCACAAAAAAUUAAUGUUUGGGCCGGUAUUCUUGGAAAUGCUGUUAUAGGACCGUUGUUUAUUGAACAAAACUUAACUGGAGAGCUCUACUUACACCUACUUGAAGAUGUAAUUGAUCCUUUGAUAACAACUGAACUGGAAAAUCAAGUUGGUAACAUUUUGCAAGAAAACGAACUACACUUUCAGCAAGAUGGAGCUACGCCGCAUUAUUUUCG
rnacentral:misc_RNA from 1 species